UACGUAGGGGGCUAGCGUUGUCCGGAAUCAUUGGGCGUAAAGAGCGUGUAGGCGGUCCGGUAAGUCCGCUGUGAAAGUCGGGGGCUCAACCCUCGAAUGCCGGUGGAUACUGUCGGGCUAGAGUGCGGAAGAGGCGAGUGGAAUUCCUGGUGUAGCGGUGAAAUGCGCAGAUAUCAGGAAGAACACCCGUGGCGAAGGCGGCUCUCUGGGACGGUACUGACGCUGAGACGCGAAAGCGUGGGAGCGAACAGG
rnacentral:rRNA from 1 species